GCUGGAAUCGCUAGUAAUCGCAAAUCAGAAUGUUGCGGUGAAUACGUUCCCGGGUCUUGUACACACCGCCCGUCACACCAUGGGAGUUGGAAAUGCCCGAAGUCAGUGACCCAACCUAAGGGAGGGAGCUGCCGAAGGCAGGUUCGAUGACUGGGGUGAAGUCGUAACAAGGUAGC
rnacentral:rRNA from 1 species